rnacentral:lncRNA from 1 species
CCAAUUUAUGAGAGAACCUAGGAGCAGAGAUUAAAAUGCAGAAUGGCAAUCAGAUUAAAAGGGAUGAUGAGAUCCUAAAUACAUCCCUCAGGCCACAGGAGAGGCAGGGGAUCAAUCUUGGGAGGACUACAGGCCAUUGAGGGGAGGGCGAAACCAGGCUUCCCACCACUAAAAUAACAAAAGAUAAAAUGAAACCCACUUAUCUGAUUUUAGAACUUUAUCUGGACAUAGAAACCUUCCAAUUAUUUAUUUAUACAUAGUGAUAUCAAGCUCUAUCUACUUCCACUCCAAAGGGAACUCUUAAAUAAUCAAAUAAAAUGUUGAGGUUUCUUGCCAGAGUUAUUCAAAGAGGAGGAAGAGAAAAAAAAGACAUGAAGGGUUUUGAGAUGCACUUUUUCUAAUAACAUUUUUAAGUGGAAUAUUAAGAAUUAUUAGUUGUUUUAUUCUAUUUAAUAUAGAAAAGGCUCACUUUUCACGAAGCACAUUUUUGUGCAUCAAAUCUGUAUAUUCUCAGUUUUAUACAAGCCUAAAUACAAAUACUUCCUUUUAUCUUUAUGUUGUAGAAAAUAAGACAUUUGCUAAAUGAGAAAAUCCUUUAAAUAGGUCAAUUUUCACUUAAAGAUAAGGUUUAAAUGUUUAUAUAUUCUAAUUUACAAUAAAAACACAUUUUAAAUGAUUUUAACCACUUAUGUUUAGGAUUGAUCUUAGACACUUGGAUAACAUGCUUUCAAUGAUGCCAAUCUUACAGUCACACCAGCUUUAUUUUGACUUUAAAAAUAUAUAUCCACUAAGGAUAGGGAAACUGAGGGGGACAAUCUGAUUUAUCAGAGGCCAUUGCCAAAACUUGGGAUGUAAAUAACUAGUUUGGGUUUACAAGACGCAAGGACAAAUUAAUGACACAAAUAGAUAUGGAUGCGCUGAUGCCCAAAUAGAUUUUUACUUAGGUGUCUGUCUUUGUUUCUCUCAACUUUACGAGAUUCUAGGCUUGGAGAGGAGGGAGAGGGCGCCAUCUGUGUGGCUUCAGAAUAUCUAAGAAUGACCUUAGAUUGAAACCAAAUGAGGGAGGAAAUAAUAAAUGAGAAAGACAAAAGGCAGAUAGAAAGUCUCCUAAUGGCAAGCAAAUAAACAGGUUCAUAAACCUGCUUUAUCUGGAGUAUCAAAUAAUAAUUACAAUAUGACAAUGUCUACCUGUAUUGACAGAGACCAGGAGUCAAAAGUCACCUAAGAUGGGACCUGACAUGAACAAUAGCCAGAUCUUCCAGGCUGACAGGCAGAAAGUAAACCUAAGAUUGGGUCCAUACCUUGGAGGAGAAGGCAAAGCAAAAGCAAAAUAGUCUCUCCUGAUUUCCAUAUUUCUAAGCAGAAUAGAAGUCAGCUUCCUAAAUUUCAAGUUGUUGCUUCCAAAUCUUUGAUUUUCCACAUUUAUUUGGAAAUUCCUGUCCUCUUUGGACUGCCAUGCAUUGGAUUGCACUGUUUUCAAUUAUUCCCCAUGGAGGUCAUCUACCCGUCACCAGGGCGCUGGCCUGCGUUCAGGGAAGAAUUAAGUACGCCCCUAAGGUAUUUUCCCA